rnacentral:rRNA from 1 species
AUGCAAGUCGUACGAGGGUUUUUAACUUUAGUGGCGGACGGGUGAGUAACACGUGAGAAUUUGCCUUUAGGAGGGGGAUAACAAUCGGAAACGAAUGCUAAUACCCCAUAUGCUUUUGAGUGAAAUGGAUUUAUCCGCCUAAAGAGAAGCUCGCGGCUGAUUAGCUUGUUGGUAAGGUAAGAGCUUACCAAGGCGACGAUCAGUAUCUGGUUUGAGAGGACGAUCAGACACACUGGAACUGAGACACGGUCCAGACUCCUACGGGAGGCAGCAGUGGGGAAUUUUCCGCAAUGGGCGAAAGCCUGACGGAGCAAUACCGCGUGAGGGAGGACUGCCUAUGGGUUGUAAACCUCUUUUUUCAGGGAGGAAUAAAUUGACGUGUACCUGAAGAAUAAGCAUCGGCUAACUCCGUGCCAGCAGCCGCGGUAAGACGGAGGAUGCAAGUGUUAUCCGGAAUCACUGGGCGUAAAGCGUCUGUAGGUGGUUUAAUAAGUCAACUGUUAAAUCUUGAGGCUCAACUUCAAAAUCGCAGUCGAAACUAUUAGACUAGAGUAUAGUAGAGGUAAAGGGAAUUUCCAGUGGAGCGGUGAAAUGCGUAGAUAUUGGAAAGAACACCAAUGGCGAAAGCACUUUACUGGGCUAUUACUAACACUCAGAGACGAAAGCUAGGGUAGCAAAUGGGAUUAGAUACCCCAGUAGUCCUAGCCGUAAACUAUGGAUACUAGAUGUUGAACAGAUCGACCUGUGCAGUAUCAAAGCUAACGCG